UCCUUCACUUCCUGACGUUCUUCCUUCACUCUUACCUUCUGGGGUUCAGUUGGUAGCAAGAAGAAGGCAGCACGAUAGGAUCUCCAUGACAGUCCAGUCAACUUCCAUCUGAGGGGGUUCCUCAGUGGAAGAUUCGCAUCAUCUUCGUUAUCUAAGCAAGCAGCAACCGGCGGUGAGCUUCUGUCCACCAACUUUGGGGGUUCCGAGCCGGGUCUUCAUGUGACGACGAGGGUAGUAGUUGAAAUCGGAAGCGGAAGUGUGAAUUGUGGUUGGAAGUCUUAGUUUAUUUUAUGUUUACUAUUGAUGUUUGUUAAUUCUUAUUAAAUGUUUGUAGCAAACUUAGAUCCUCAUGUUUAGAUUGCACACACUUUAUCUACUUUGUUUCAUGCAUAUAAUGUGUUCGAUGAAAUGUUUCUUUUAAGUCGUUAGGUUCAAUUUGAUGAGUUUUAACUUGUUUAAUUUUUACUUUGUCUUGUUCUUUCAAUUUUGUUAGGUUCUAGUUUUGAUUAAAUGCAAUUAGGAUAUGUUAGAUUAGAUUUCUUUAAUGCUCUAGAUUUUUAAUUCAAUGCUAAUUUAUGUUGUCUUUAAUUUCAUUGCAAUCUUAGUUUAAGUUAGAAUAGGUUUCCUUAUUUGCAUCGUCUUUCAUUUACUAGGUUAGGUUCAUUUAAUGUUUUGUUAUUUCAUUUCUUAGUUUAACUCCAUUAAUGGUGAUAUCGUAGCGUAGAGUGACAAUGCAUUGUCACUUGUUUUCCAAAAUCAGUUUAACUCCAUUAAUGGAUAUGUUAUCUUAUUUGAGAAAGUAUGACUAUUUAUAAUAUUUAGAACUUGCUUUCCAAAAUCAGCUUUACUCUAUUCCGAUAUCUCCAUAUCUCAACUUGCAUGUUUGAUUGUUUUGGAGAUUUUUCGUCUUAAUGAGUGAUUCACCUUUGUUUAGAACCCUCCUAAGCUGGCUACUCCUCUAUUUGAUACUAAAAUGCCAGAGGACCCUAAGAUGGCAUACACAGACCUAGAUAAUCUUCAAAUGGUGUUUUGAACGAAGAGUAGUGUUUGGUCUUGCAUUGUGAUGGCGUCUGAGUGUUUGCUUGGUCUCUGUUGGCUUGCUACAUAUCUAGAAAGCUCCAUGAUUUGUGCUAAGCUGAAGCGUAUCCAAUUUGGAUUUUCCAACUCAAAAUAUCAGUAGAUUUGUUGUGGUAGUACCUUAAUAGGAUUUGAGACUUCUCCAUUCAGGAAGGUUAUGCUCGUUUGACUCAUAUUAUGGAAAAGACAAGUCCGGUAGAUACAAAAAUUACAAGAUCACAAGUUUGGAUUGAAGGUCACAAGAAAAAAAAUGGGAAGCCUAGUACUCAAGCUGUUGGAGAGAAAAUAGUGGACCUAAUUCGACCAAAUGAUGAAAUGUAGUUUCUCGAUGAUGCAAUAGAAAGCACGGUCGCAUGGUUAUCUAUAUUUAUAGUAUUGUGCGAUUGAUAUAUAUUAUACUAAUUUGUUUGGAUUGUAAGUUGAAUUGUUGUUAUGUAAUUGCUAGUUUGUUAGAUAUUUCAUAUAUUGUUUUAGAUGUUUUGAGUUUUUGUGGUAUAAAGAAAAACUAUGACUUUUAUUAA